UGACGGUACCCUACUAGAAAGGAGCCGCUAACUUCGUGCCAAAAGCGUCGGUAAUACGGGGGCUCCAAGCGUAAUCCGGUGUUAUUGGGCGUAAAGAGUCGUGUAGGUGUUUGGGUAAGUUAUCUUUCAAAGAUCUUUGCUUAACAAAGAGGAGGGGGAUAAUACUGCUCGACUAGAAUUUUCUCAAGGGAGAUCGGAACUGAGGGAGGAGUAGUGAAAUGCGUUGAUACCCUCGGGAACACCAGUGGCGUAGGCGGAUCUCUGGGAGAAGAUUGACACUGAGACACGAAAGCUAGGGGAGCGAAGCAGAUUAGAGACCUGCGUAGUCCUAGCCGUAAACGCAUGCUUGCUAGCUGCAUGAAUCUACCUUCGGGUGGUAUCGUGUGGCGAAGGUAACCCGUUAAGCAAGCCGCCUGGAAAGUACGGCCGCAAGGCUGAAAUUCAAAGGAAUUGGCGGGGAGGCACACAACCAGUGGAACAUGUGGUUUAAUUCGAGACUAACCGAAGAACCUCACCAGGGUUUGACAUGUAGCUGCACGUCUUAAGAAAUUAAGACUCUCUUGAAGGUGCUACACAGGUGCUGCAUGGCUGUCGUCAGCUCGUUCCGUGAGGAGUGCCCUUAAGUGGGACAACGAGCGCAACCCCUAUUACAUGUUAGAAAUGUCAUGUAAGACUGCCUUGCCAUUUGGCGGGGAGGAAGGAGGGGCAGACGUCAAGUCCGCAUGGUCCUUAUGCCCUGGGCUACACACAUGUUACAAUGAGUACGGCAAUGAGUCUGUCGCGAGCACGUAAGUGUAAGCUAAUCUCUUAAAUGUACUCUCAGUGGGGAUUGAGGUCUGCAACUCGACCUCAUGAACACGGAAUUGGUAGUAAUCGCGGGUCAGCUAUACCGCGGUGAAUACGUUCUUGCCUCUUGCACACACCGCCCGUCAAACCAGCAAAGUCGAUUGUAUCCGAACCU
rnacentral:rRNA from 1 species